AACAGGGAAGCUUGCUUCCGCUGACGACCGGCGCACGGGUGCGUAACGCGUAUGCAACCUACCUCAUACUGGAGAAUAGCCCUUGGAAACGAGGAUUAAUGCUCCAUAGUAUCACAGAUUCGCAUGUUUCUGUGAUUAAAGAAUUUCGGUAUGAGAUGGGCAUGCGUCCCAUUAGCUUGUUGGUGAGGUAACGGCUCACCAAGGCAACGAUGGGUAGGGGGCCUGAGAGGGUGACCCCCCACACUGAUACUGAGACACGGACCAGACUCCUACGGGAGGCAGCAGUGAGGAAUAUUGGGCAAUGGAGGCAACUCUGACCCAGCCAUGCCGCGUGAAGGAUGACUGCCCUAUGGGUUGUAAACUUCUUUUAUAUGGGAAGAAACUUAUCUACGUGUAGAUAACUGACGGUACCAUACGAAUAAGGAUCGGCUAACUCCGUGCCAGCAGCCGCGGUAAUACGGAGGAUCCAAGCGUUAUCCGGAUUCAUUGGGUUUAAAGGGUCCGUAGGCGGGUCUUUAAGUCAGUGGUGAAAGCCGACAGCUCAACUGUCGAACUGCCAUUGAUACUGGAGACCUUGAGUACAAAUGAAGUAGGCGGAAUGAGUCAUGUAGCGGUGAAAUGCAUAGAUAUGACUCAGAACACCGAUUGCGAAGGCAGCUUACUAACAUGUAACUGACGCUGAGGGACGAAAGCGUGGGGAA
rnacentral:rRNA from 1 species